AGCUCACUCGCCCGGGGCUGGCCGCCCAUCCCCCAACCGGCAGAGCAGGGGAGGGGGCAGUCACUAACGCCCGGCUCGCCUGCGUCGGCGCGGUUACCCGGCCUCCAAGGCGCUGCCCUGGGCUGGCCGGACCUGCUCUCUUUCCCGGCCUCAAGGAGCUCUUGAAUCUGAGAAGGAAGCAGCUGGGGGCACGGUGUCGGCAGACUGGGGCGCACGCCACGGACAUCGUCAGUCACCGAGGCUGGCGUUAGAGCAGAGAUGAGAGACUAGAGGAGAAAGGAAACUCGCACCGAGCGGAUGCCCACGCCGGAAAGGCUCUGGCUGACUCUCGCGGGGCAGGCAUCUUGGUCCUCAUUUUACAGGAUUAGAAAUGGCUGCAGCUGUGAGGAAGGGGCUGUAGAGGUCUUCAGGACGGGUUGGCAGGGACACUGCCACAAAGUCCUUUUGCUCCCUCUCUUGGGCCCUGCCUAAGGCUGGGAAGAUGGAGAAGAGGAGAGAUGAGUAACCAGGAGAGAGCCAAUGAGAUGGGCCGGCAGCACCGGAUGAUCCAUGGGGCCAUGAGCAGGAGGGGAGCGGGAGGCCUACUCAGCAUCUUCAGCUGUUCCCUGGACCCUCCCUGCCAUCUGGACGCCUCCACUAGGGGAUGUGCUGCUGGCACGGGGAGAGAUGCAAGAGACAGAGGCCAAAGAAACUGAGCUGGAGGCUCCAGUGACCCAGGAAUAUGGAGACCCCCUUUCCCCCUUCAGGGCCUAAGUCUGUGACCUAAUGCUGACCAUCCCCACCCCACCCCACCCCACCCCCAGUACCUACAACUGGGAAUUCUUCUCUUUGGCUGACAGUGCUGGUGGGCUGUCUGUCUCUGCCGUGGAAUCAAGUCUUAGACAACCCUCUCUCCACACCCUCCAUACCCUUCCUUGGUUCAUGUAUGUUCAGAAGGAGUAUCUUUGGAAAGAGGCCUGGUUCUGAAUCCCAAGCCUGCCAUUUACUAGCUAGAGACGCAGAGCAAGUCCCUUCUGCCUUCUGAGUCUCCUUUCGCCCAAAUGGAUGAAGGCCGUGUACUUCUCAGGGUUGUCACGAGGAUUAAAAGAGAUAACUUACAGAAAGCCUAACACACACUAAUACUCAAUGAACAGUGACUCCCUUCUCCCUUCUGGGUGUCCUCCCCAGGGCGGUUGUCCCAGAGGCGCACAAGAAUGAGCCUUCUCUCUUGAAUCAAUAGGAAACGGCCCACGUAUAUCUCCAUCUCCUCCUCACUGAGGUCAUCGCGUGCCUGCAGACACUGCAGAGAAGUUUCCUCAGCUCUCCCUUUCUCUCUCUUUGUAUAAUCCAUCCCUUCCAUCAAUCUUCACUGAGCACCUCCUAUGCCCAGGCGCUGUGCGGGCUCAGUGGGGAGCCAGGGUGAACGGGAGGGCCUGCCUUCCCUGGACCUGCGGGGGGAGUGCAGUCACAGCGGGUGGAAUGGAGCGUUCUUUCUGCCACCAGGAAAUCGCUUCCUUAUUCCCCAGGAGUUCUAGGUACUGUAGGGCUGAGAGAACAAAUGUUGGCAAAGACAGAGGUUUACUCCACACCCGUUGCUUCUGAGAAACUGCUGCCUGGGGCAGGAUGCUCCCUGGAAGAACAGUGGCUCUCCCUGCACAGGGAGGAGAGGCGUGGGCAGCUCAGAGUGGAGGGGCAGUCACCUCUGCCUUCCCAGAAACCAGCGCCCUCACUCCUGCUACCGAGAGAAUAAAGUCCAAACUCUAGCCUUG